CUUGCUAGGUGGAUUAGUGGCGCACGGGUGAGUAAUAUAUAGAUAACGUGCCUCUUAGUCUGGGAUAGCCAUUGGAAACGAUGAUUAAUACUAGAUACUCCUUCUAACUCUAAUGUUAGUUGGGAAAGUUUUUCGCUAAGAGAUCGGUCUAUAUCCCAUCAGCUAGUUGGUAGUGUAAGAGACUACCAAGGCAAUGACGGGUAGCGGGUUUGAGAGGAUGAUCCGCCACACUGGUACUGAGACACGGACCAGACUCCUACGGGAGGCAGCAGUGAGGAAUAUUGCACAAUGGAGGAAACUCUGAUGCAGCAACGCCGCGUGGAGGAUGACGCAUUUCGGUGUGUAAACUCCUUUUAUAUGUCAAGAAAAUGACGGUAGCAUAUGAAUAAGCACCGGCUAACUCCGUGCCAGCAGCCGCGGUAAUACGGAGGGUGCAAGCGUUAUUCGGAAUCACUGGGCGUAAAGGACGCGUAGGCGGGAUGC
rnacentral:rRNA from 1 species